GGGGGUAUAGCUCAGUUGGUAGAGCACCUGCUUUGCACGCAGGGGGUCAGCGGUUCGAGUCCGCUUACCUCCA
rnacentral:tRNA from 36 species